UACGUAGGGGGCAAGCGUUGUCCGGAUUUAUUGGGCGUAAAGAGCGUGUAGGCGGUUCGGUAGGUCCGUUGUGAAAACUCGAGGCUCAACCUCGAGACGCCGAUGGAAACCCUCGAACUAGAGUCCGGAAGAGGAGAAUGGAAUUCCUGGUGUAGCGGUGAAAUGCGCAGAUAUCAGGAGGAACACCGGUGGCGAAGGCGGGUCUCUGGGCCGAUAUUGACGCUGAGGAGCGAAAGCGUGGGGAGCAAACAGG
rnacentral:rRNA from 1 species